UACGUAGGUGGCGAGCGUUGUCCGGAUUUACUGGGCGUAAAGGGAGCGUAGGCGGACUUUUAAGUGAGAUGUGAAAUACUCGGGCUCAACUUGAGUGCUGCAUUUCAAACUGGAAGUCUAGAGUGCAGGAGAGGAGAAUGGAAUUCCUAGUGUAGCGGUGAAAUGCGUAGAGAUAGGGAAGAACACCAGUGGCGAAGGCGAUUCUCUGGACUGUAACUGACGCUGAGGCUCGAAAGCGUGGGGAGCAAACAGG
rnacentral:rRNA from 1 species